UCCAGGGGGUGCAAACGUUGCUCGGAAUCACUGGGCGUAAAGGGUGCGUAGGCGGGUCUUUAAGUCAGGGGUGAAAUCCUGGAGCUCAACUCCAGAACUGCCUUUGAUACUGAGGAUCUUGAGUUCGGGAGAGGUGAGUGGAACUGCGAGUGUAGAGGUGAAAUUCGUAGAUAUUCGCAAGAACACCAGUGGCGAAGGCGGCUCACUGGCCCGAUACUGACGCUGAGGCACGAAAGCGUGGGGAGCAAACAGG
rnacentral:rRNA from 1 species